rnacentral:rRNA from 1 species
UGGGGGGAGUAUUGCACAAUGGGGGAAACCCUGAUGCAGCGACGCCGCGUGAGCGAAGAAGAUCUUCGGAUUGUAAAGCUCUGUCUUGGGGGACGGAUGAUGACGGUACCCCGAGAGGAAGCCACGGCUAACUACGUGCC